rnacentral:rRNA from 1 species
UGGAUGUGUAAGUCAUAUCAAUGCUGCGGGCACUGCCGGUAUCAACCAGCAUAUGCGGGUAAUGCCCAAACGCGCGUUCCAACUGCAAUGCUUCGGCUUUUUUGUUGUCAAACAGCCGAUAAUGGGGGGCAAAAAUAAGAUUGUAGCGGUCUUGGUUGGCAAAAUGCGCCAGUACAUUCAAGCCCAUUUUAGGCCAGGAGGAGAGGCGCGUAUUAAAGUGUGGAUUAUAAAGAAUGGUCGGACGAUUAUUGUUAAAUAGGCGUAAUGUCCUGUGCCGCAUGCGGUGGACCAUAUCGAAUUUGGCGUAAACGCCAGUAUGGUAGCAGCCGGGGCGGAUGGCGCCUUGAGCUAAAAGUCGCUCCUCUAUUUUAUGUCCAGCCAUCAGCACGUAGUCGAAUUUCUUCACAUCACGCGCAAAACCGAUGGCCCGAUCUCCAGCGCCAUGGCGUGUCCAUAUCAGGCGUGGCUUAUUUACUCCCAGUUUACGCAGAUACAGUGAAGUGCGUUCGGGAACCACGAUCCCCUGAAACGAAGAGAAAUAAUUCUUGUUAAAAAAUAGGCUCGCCAGACGAAAAAAAGCGGUUUGUCCGUAGCGUUCAGUUUGACGCCGUAGAAACUGGGGGAGGUGCAGAAGGCUGAACUGCACUUUCGAUUCUGGAUAAUACGCAGCCAGUGAGCGCACAUAAUCCAGAUGCGAUUGUGUGGUGCAAGCAAGAUGCACUUCAGCCUCGGGGUGACGGCUCGCAAUUUCCAUUGCAAUCGGCAAAGAAUGCAAGGUUUGGUGCGGCUGUGCGAUGUAAGGGAAGAGAAUGCGCAUCUGUUAAAUGUCAUCCUUGUUUAACAUAGGAACCUUUGUCACAGCAUGAGCGUCUUUAUGUGCUUGCCCAUAAGGCAGUUCCGCCUCAGCAAGUUACUGUUAUGUGCACAAAUCGUUUAGCGUGCUCGAUAGUCAAGCCCCACCUCAUAAGGAGAAACGUGAGGAAGAAGGCUUUUUCGUGAUGUGAGGAGAGGGGGCUUGAGGCAAAAAAACCUGAGAAUAUGAAUUUUUUCUGAUUUUGGGUGUUGACGGUGUAAUGGGAUGGGGUGUAGAAGCUGCUUCACCGAGACGGAGUGGUCUUGGCGGGUUUAGAAAGAUCUGCUAGGUUAUUCGGCUCUUUUGGUCUUUGACAAGAGAAUAUGAUAGAGAGGGAUAUGCUGACGGCGUGUCUUUCUGAUCUAGGCUUCGGUUUAGGUUGGGGGAAUUGAUAGGUUUUUAGGAACCUUUUGGACGUUUUGUUGGUAUAUCUUUUGAUAUGCGUUUUGACAGAUGUUUCGAAUUAGCUGGCCUUUUGGUGAGUUAAUUUAUUGAGAAGGGUCCUUAGUUUGUUGUGCUGCUUUGGUGGCAUGAUGAACCUGAGAGUUUGAUCCUGGCUCAGAGCGAACGCUGGCGGCAUGCUUAAC